CCGGGAUCGUAAGCAUACCUGCCCUGUGCGAAAUAUUACUGUAAACGGCCGCCCUAGCGUGAGGGUGCUAAGGUAGCGAAAUUCCUUGCCUUUUGAUUGUAGGCCUGCAUGAAUGGUUUAACGAGGGUUUAACUGUCUCUAAAUUUUUUAUUGAAAUUGUACUGAAGGUGAAGAUACCUUCAUUUAAAAGUUAGACAAAAAGACCCCGUGCAACUUUGAAAAUUAACUUUAUUCAGAAGUAAAAGAUUUUUAGGUGGGGCGCCUAGAAAGUAAGUCUAACCUUUCUGAAUAAUUAGUUCUUUCCGGAUUCGACCCGAUUAUAUUCGAUCAUAGGAGAAGUUACGCCGGGGAUAACAGGCUAAUCCUUUAGUAGAGCUCGUAUUGGCUAAAGGGAUUGGCACCUCGAUGUUGAAUCAGGGAUGAUAGCUUCAAGGCGUAGAGGCUUUGAGAGUAGGUCUGUUCGACCUUUAAUACCCUACGUGAUCUGAGUUCAGACCGGAGG
rnacentral:rRNA from 1 species